UACGGAGGGUGCAAGCGUUAUCCGGAAUCAUUGGGUUUAAAGGGUCCGCAGGCGGUUCUAUAAGUCAGUGGUGAAAUCUCUCGGCUCAACCGAGAAACUGCCAUUGAUACUGUAGGACUUGAAUUCGGUCGAAGUGGGCGGUAUAUGACAUGUAGCGGUGAAAUGCUUAGAUACGUCAUAGAACACCGAUAGCGAAGGCAGCUCACUAGGCCUGGAUUGACGCUCAGGGACGAAAGCGUGGGGAGCAAACAGG
rnacentral:rRNA from 1 species